rnacentral:rRNA from 1 species
UACGUAGGUGGCAAGCGUUAUCCGGAAUUAUUGGGCGUAAAGCGCGCGCAGGCGGUUUCUUAAGUCUGAUGUGAAAGCCCACGGCUCAACCGUGGAGGGUCAUUGGAAACUGGGGAACUUGAGUGCAGAAGAGGAUAGUGGAAUUCCAAGUGUAGCGGUGAAAUGCGUAGAGAUUUGGAGGAACACCAGUGGCGAAGGCGACUAUCUGGUCUGUAACUGACACUGAGGCGCGAAAGCGUGGGGAGCAAACAGG